AUUGAACGCUGGCGGCAGGCCUAACACAUGCAAGUCGAACGAGUGGCGGACGGGUGAGUAAUGUCUGGGAAACUGCCCGAUGGCGGGGGAUAACUACUGGAAACGGUAGCUAAUACCGCAUACCAUCAGAUGGGCCCAGAUGGGAUUAGCUAGUUGGUGGGGUAACGGCUCACCAAGGCAACGAUCCGUAGCUGGUCUGAGAGGAUGACCAGCCACACUGGGACUGAGACACGGUCCAGACUCCUACGGGAGGCAGCAGUGGGGAAUAUUGCACAAUGGGUGCAAGCCUGAUGCAGCCAUGCCGCGUGUAUGAAGAAGGCCUUCGGGUUGUAAAGUACUUUUAGCAGGGAGGCGUUACCCGCAGAAGAAGCACCGGCUAACUCCGUGCCAGCAGCCGCGGUAAUAC
rnacentral:rRNA from 1 species